rnacentral:lncRNA from 1 species
GGUUAAAUUUCCCACUUUUUUUCCCACACAUGCCAAAGUGCGAAUCUCUAAUUUUCAGUUGACCUCUCUCCCACUCUCUCUCCCUGUGCAUCUCUUCCAAGUCGAACAAAUUGGAGCUCUGAUACUUUAGCUCUGAGCAAAAUAAAUCUCACCACAUAUGGAUCGGAAUUAGAUGGUAUGCCAGAUGGUCGACUCAUAGUCCUUAUUUAUGUGGAUGAGAUGCUAGAGGUUUAAGUUUUGUUUCCAUCUACUCUUCCGCAGAGGCCGAAACCCUCUCAUCCUCUCAGCAAUUCGUUGUCGUCUCUCCCCAAACCCCCAACCUAGCUGCUGUCCCUAGAAGCCUCCGACCCCCUCCGCGAUGCCAUUGAGGAGCUCCAGUGCCGCCAGCGCACUGAUGUUGCGCGUGGCUCGCCGCACAACCCGCCCAAUGUAUGAAUGAGAGAGGAUAUGAUUGUUGGAUUUCCAACCUAUCGAUAUGAUGAAGGUGAGUGGCUCGCACUGAUGUUGCGCGUGGCUCGCAUCUCAACUAGUUCUGGUAUGCUUGCUACCUGAGUCAUCCAACCUAUCGAUAUGAUGAAGGUGAGAAUUCAAUUGGAUCAGGGAUCAGCUGGACAAGUUGCCAGGACCAUGAUCAAGAAGGAGGGUUUUGGUUCAUUGUAUAAGUGCUAGCACUUAGAGGAACAGACUAUGGCAAGUCAAAGAUGAGUUAUCCGGGCCAUGAUUUUAUACUAUCUGCUAAUCAUUUAAGAUACUAGUCCUUCCAUGGAAUCCUCAGCUUUGAGUUGUUACAUUGAAGGAUAUUAUUUGGCAAGGAGAAACCAGUGGAGUUAAUGAAGUGCUGCAUUCAUUCAUGAUUGAUAUCCAAUAAGAAGAUUAGCGGAGUAUUCAUUAAGAUAUAUUUUCCAAAUCAUUUUGUAGUCACUUUAGACUUAUUUUGUAUUGUAUAUUAAUGUAUUUUAGUGAGUAAUAGUCCUUUUGGUGGUUUUAAGAUGCUUUGGAUAUAUCUUAUUUUUGGAUGGUUUUUCAACUUUUAAGGUUACCGUUAAUUAGGGCUGGGCACGGGCCGGGACAGGCCGGUUACUGAGUGAUACCGAACCUGAUCCCGAAAAUAUAUUUCGGUACGGGUUGGGACGGGAUUUUGAUUUUCCAAAGUUGGUACCGACGGGAGGCAGAUCACAGAUUAGAAACCGAGAGGAAUGAAAGAUAGAAGGGUGAGGGAGAGAGAGCCACAGAAAGGGAGAGAGUGUUGCGAAAAGGUGAGGUGCACAUGGUCCAUACUCUCAUAAGAAGAUAUUGUAU